rnacentral:rRNA from 1 species
UGAGACACGGCCCAGACUCCUACGGGAGGCAGCAGUAGGGAAUCUUGGACAAUGGGGGCAACCCUGAUCCAGCCAUGCCGCGUGCGGGAAGAAGGCCUUCGGGUUGUAAACCGCUGUCAACGAGGAGGAAGUGCGAGAGGGUUCUCCCUCUUGUUUGACCUAUUCGAGAAGGAAGUACGGGCUAAGGUCGUGCCAGCAGCCGCGGUAAG